CAUCAGCGGUCAUGGAGAGUCUCCAUCCAGCUGGAUCACUGUCACAGGGGAACACACCACCACACCUCCACCUACAUCCACACCUCCACCUCGUUCUACUUCUCUUCCUCCAUCACUUGCUCCUCCAGUUCUCUUUGUGUUGUCAUUUGUUGGGUCAGUCUGUGUUGUGACUUUACUGGUGGUACUGGUUCUGCUGGUGAGACGACUUGUUAACAGGAAACUUAAAGAGACUGAUCCAGCUGCAGUCUACUCAGCAGUGAGAACUGAAGACGUCAGUUAUGGACCAAUUAUCAUCCUAGAGAAGAAAAGAAAAUCAACGAAAAGAGAGUGUGAUCCAGCUGGAGUCUACUCAUCAGUGCGAACUGGAGACGUCAGUUAUGGACAAAUCACCAUCAGAGACAAGGAAAACAGAUCAAAGACCAGAGAGUCGUCGCCUAGUCCUCGCUGAACUCCAACCGCUGGAAUCCAGCUGCUGUUCCAUGUGACCUGAGGACAUUCAUUACAAAUCAUAUCUGUAUAUAUUGUCUUUAAUCUUUUCAUUAAAUUCAAGGCCACAUACUGAUGGACCAAAAACCCAAAGAGAAAUUAAUGUUUUUGGUAGAAUAAAAGCUAAACUUCUUUAACGACUUUAAAGAAAAAAAAAUACAAGUAUAUUUUCAUCACCUUGUCUUUCAGCAUCUCAGUAUGGCCAUAACAGCAACAUGUAUCUGUAUAAUACAUGUUAUAUGAACAAUAAAUAACAAUACUAUCUUGUCUAUAUCUAAUAUAUACAUGUAAAGUAAUAUAUUUAACAUACUUAGUUACUUGUAGAACCCUGCUGUUGUCUCCACUGCAGUGAUCUGUACUCUCUGCAGGACUUUGGUUGGACUUGUUCUUCUCGUGUGGUUCUGUGGGUUUCAUGAAGAUGUCUGAUGGAAAAUGUGAACUGUUGUUGCUAACACAUGCACAUGCACAAGCUUGAGAACAAAGUGUGGAUGUGGUUAAUGAGUUUUGAUUUAAGUAAAUGAAUUGUGUGAGACUUUAGAUGCUGUUUGAACUAAAGACGUCUCCAUCAGUAGAUAAGAAUUAGCGCAUGUGCAUCUUAGUUACAGUGUUGAUACCUGUGGUUGUCCUUGCACAGGACAGUGAGGACAUAUGUGCUGUCUAUACUCAUUCAGUCUGAUAUGAUCUCAGUUUCCAUUCAGUCAAAAUCGGGGUCAGAUUAUGCUGCAAAAACAAAUGCUCAGAGAAAGACUGAUAUACUAAGAGAUAUACUCAAGUAGAGUUACCAGAACCACCAGGAUCUUUCCAGCCACUUUAAUUAUAUGCAUAAUUAGUCAGUUCACAGCCAACUAUAGGUGCAUUCCAGGAGCAUCCACAGACAGCAAAAAGCACUAACCACAGUUUAAAGCACAGUCUGGUGCUGCCAUCUAGUGACACUGAAGAAUGACUGAUUUUAGGAUCAUUCCUGGUCACUUUAACUGCUGCAUGUAUUUUUGAUUUCUUCUAUCUAUGUUUACAAAAUGUAUAGCGCACAGGGAACACAGAAAGACACAUCUAUACUACAAUCAUUAUAGUAUAAUGUUGUGGACGUUAUAGUGUGACUGAUCAUUUUAAUCUGACAUUUCAUUCUUUGCUCAACUGCACUGUGAAAAGCACAGAUGUUUACAGUAUUUGUAUAAGUUAUAUACAUGCUGCCACUCACAGUGCCUGUGUAAUGUUAAUGCAAAGUUUCAUCAAGCUCAGCCCACUCACCUUAGGGAGCACACAGUCACACAUGCAUGUCUAUGCUGCAGUUAACACAGUAUGAUACACACAGCAGUCAUGGAGUAAUGCAGAGUCUUUGUCAUUCUCCCAACUCCUUCAGUUCAUCAUCUCUCACUCACUGUCAUCUACAUAAAGAGCUACACAUAAAUUAGCAUAGAUAGAUAGAUCCGGACAGAGCUACAGACCCAUGACACUGUUACCCAGUUAGCUAGCAGCUAAUGACCACCACUAUUUGUGCAGUUAAUGAAAAUAUAGGUGAUGUUUGUUGUGGUGUCGCCAACACAGCACACUCAUUUGUUUCAAUUCGUCAGGUGUCUAAAUGGAUUGGUUCUUAUAGAGCACUUUUCUACUCUGAGCACCCACAGCGCUUUGCCUCAUUGACCCAUUCACACAAGCCCUUUUUUUUUUGCUCUUUCUAUCUAACACGCACACACAUUGGGGUAUAAUCUUGGCCAAAGAUAUUUGCCACGCAGGCUGGAAUUUAACCACCAACAUUGCCACUUAUUGGGUACACCUGUUCAACUGCUUGUUAAUGGAAAUAUUUAAUCAGCCAAUCACAUGGCAUUAAGUCAAUGUAUUUAGACAUGUAUCAUUUUAUGAUGCUUCAUGCUACAUGUUGAUUCCUAAGUGCUUAGUUUCAAUUUGAUCCCGGUUAUAAUAUAAUAUUAUUUGGAAACUUUUCAUGGGAAUCAUUCAGUCUAAGUCAUCAGUCAUGCAGGUCUUUCCACACAGCAGCUGUUUCUUUACAGUUCGUUUUCCUUAAAUGGAAAGAACUGCUGACCUCCCUGGGGACAUAAUUAGACAGUGUUUACAAAUUUUAGUUGUUCAUUGAGUUGUCAAGUGUGAUCUGUCAGGGGAGUGUGUGUCAGGGGAGUGUGAGACAGUCCAGGAGGAGAAAAUCACAAUCAAGCUCAGUAUGUUUGUGAUGUCAUGAGUAUGACUAAAAUACUUAUUGAUCAUUAGUGACAGAGGUCUUUCAUUUUUUUUAAAGAAAAUAGUAUUUCUUUUCCUGCUUCUUGGCAAAAUAAGAACACUUUGUUCAUGGAUGAAGAUUAUAUAUGACAUGAAGGAUAACCUG